AGCCCACAGACCCGCCCUAGAGGAGCACCCCCUUAGCCCUCUUUGUCCAGGGAGCUCAUUGCUCAUAGGGCAGCCAGAGAGUGCACCUCACUUUGGCCCUGACCCCCGAGGGGUUCUUCAUCACAAUGACAGAGGAGGAGGGCAAGGAACUGGCUGAAGAAGGCUGAGAAGUGCUUCGAGUGGAGCUGGAAACAGAGUGACUCCCAGGGAAUCAGGAGGGAGCUGGACAAGAAGUCAGUCUAAACAGUUGGAAGGGACUCAAGAUGACUGAGGAGCUGAUCAGCCCCACUAGGAUCCCACCAGGAUCUUCACCACCUGGGUUUUCAUUCUAAAUCAGUAAUAGACUGAUAGCUUGAUUGCCCCACACAUAUUGGAUGUCCAUCAGAAGCCAGAAGAGGGCCAGGUGGAAGUUUGAGAUAACACCUGAGGAAUGCAGAGCAUGGAGCCCUGGCUCAGCAGGGAAAAACACUUGGGCCUAGUGUCAGAACCCAGCCUGGGGCCCCCUCUUGGUAAUUGGCCUGCAGUGCCAUCUGGUGGCCAAGGUUCAAAAAUAUGUUCUUUGAACCCGUCCCCUCCAGGGUCUUCGAAAAGCUAGCCUCCUACCUAACCAGCAAGCCUUCCUGGCCACCUCUGCCACCAAGCUCCAGACGUCCAUCCAGUUGUCUCCCUUAGAAUGAACCUCAUUCAUCCUUCAGAGAUGACAUCAGAUACUUCAUCCAGGAAGCCUCUCCAAUCUGCUCCAGCUUCAGCAAUUGAUCUCUUCAGGGCCUCCAAGCACUAUCUGGGAAUCACUCUCUACCUCUGGGGUCUCAGGCUCUGAAAUAAAAAAGCUCUGGUUUUGAACACUGGUGUCUCCACUUACCAGCGUAUAACCUGACAAGUCACUUAACCUCUCUGAGACUCAGGUCUCUCAUGUGAAGCAGAGACAGCAAUUCUAGCUUUAAGGAGUUAUGAAGAUUAAAAGCUAUGAAGUCUGAAAAAGCUGAGCAAAGAUCCUGCACCAAACAGGCAUUCAGGAAAUGGAAGUCCUUUCCUACCCUCUCUCUGACUUCCUCUUCCCUUUCCUGAAAAGGAAGUAUGAUGGAGCAAAAGACAGAAGGGAGUCACAGGACCUGAGUUCUCCGGGUCUUAGUCUCCUAUGUAAAAUGAGGCCAUGAGAUAAUGGAUGAACUAUUCAUUCACCCACUCACUCAUUCACUUCUAUCCCCUGCUCCCUACAGGGGAUGGACCGAAGGGGUGCUCUUAUCACUGAGCUACAUCCCCAGACUUUCUUAUUUUUUUAUUUUGAGACAGGAUUUUGCUAAGUUGCUCAAACUGGUUUCGAAUUUGCAAUCCUCCUGCUUCAGCCUCCUGAAUUGUUGGGAUUAUCACCAUGCCCAUAACCUAUUCCAUCUCUGACAGUCUAUAUAGAAUAUUCUGUUCUAUACAUUAUGUUCAUCAAUUCAUCUGUGCCAGACUGGGUUUUGUCCUUCAGAAUCCCCUUCUCAAACCCAGCACACAGUGCCUGGAACAGAGACAGCAGGAAAAAAAAUCACUCUCCACAAUCCACUGUAGUCAUGUUUACCGCCUACAUGCACACAUACACAUACGUGCACAUAUGCAUGCACACACCAGCCAGGAGAGCACCCAGUCCCUCCUGGCUCCAGCUGCCCCUGCCCCCACCUCACCCCAGCCAGAAACCAGAGCUGGCGCCACUGGGUGAGGAAUCUAGGGACCAACUGUCACAGGCUCCUGUAUCACCUGCCUCCUGGACACCUGGGUCCAACCCUGAGUCCAUAGGGACCCUGUCAGCCAGCUGUCCUGGGGGGCCCAGGCUCUAACCCAGCCCCUUGAAGCAGCUCUCCCUGGGGAAUCAGACUGUGCAGGAGACCUGGUAGGGGAAAUGCUGGGGUAGUUCCAGAGGAGGAGCAGACACGUUUGUCUGUCCAGGUCUAAACUGCAGGUUGCAGGCUGCAAAGAUAUAUGCACAAGAACAGAACUACCCACUGUGAUCCACACUCUCCAAUCUCUGGAGCCUUUUAGGUUCCAAAAACGGUUUUGCUCUCACAUUUUCUUCUCUUUGGCCAUGUGAUCUGGGUCAUGUAGGCGACUUUCUGAAUCUCAAUCAGGGGGCAGGGUUCAAGUCUGACACUUCUUUUGAGUGAUCUACAGAAUGUUACCCAAUAUAUUGUUAGUUGAAAUUAAUUAAUGAGUCCAGUGCAUUCCAAUAAGACAGAGAAAAUUUAACAAGAGGAUGGAGAUUAGAUAGCCAGGUGGACUUCCCACAAGGAAGGGAUAUUAAGAAAGGAAAAUGGUGACACAUAUCUGCUACUGGGGAGGCCGAAGCAGGAGGAUUGCAAGUUUGAGGCAAUCCUCAACAACUUAACAAGAUCCAGUCUCAAAAUAAAAAAUAAGAAGGGCUUGGG